CUAAAUAUAAAUAUAGAGCUGAGAAGUGAAGAUUGUGGAGCAGACGACCCGAGCCCAAGAUCAAAACCAUACCACAACAGAGAGUCAAGGUAUUACUGAAACUAAAGUCGAAGCACAUGAUUCUGACAUGUACAAUUCUGUUGCUAAAGAUCUUAACACCAGUCCGAGAAGAACCAAACAAAACUCAUUUAAGAAAAGGAAACUGGCUUGUCUCGUACGCGUCUAAGCCAACUGACUGUUUUCGGUGAAUCGCAAUAGACUACAAAAACUAUGAUUCGGAUAGGCAUAUCAGAAUUUAUAUCUUCCUCAAACGCUAUUUGAU
rnacentral:lncRNA from 1 species